CAGUAGCCACGGUAAAACGUAGGUGGCAAGCGUUGUCCGGAAUUAUUGGGCGUAAAGGGCUCGCAGGCGGUUUCUUAAGUCUGAUGUGAAAGCCCCCGGCUCAACCGGGGAGGGUCAUUGGAAACUGGGAAACUUGAGUGCAGAAGAGGAGAGUGGAAUUCCACGUGUAGCGGUGAAAUGCGUAGAGAUGUGGAGGAACACCAGUGGCGAAGGCGACUCUCUGGUCUGUAACUGACGCUGAGGAGCGAAAGCGUGGGGAGCGAACAGGAUUAGAUACCCCGGUAGUCCCUGUCUCUUAUAC
rnacentral:rRNA from 1 species